UCUGAGUGGCAGGAGCCCCGUCCGGCCCCGGGCGGUUACUGGGGAGACGCUUUGUUUGCUAACUUCGAAAGCCGCGCUCGGAGCCGCUCGGCCCUGCACGCCUCCCGGGCGGCUAAGCCCGACCCCCAAACGCUUCCUUCUGCGUGGUUAUCCUUGGCCACGCGGUGGCUCUCAUUAGGUGCACAAAGGCACACAUAGUUCCAUUUGGUGUCAUCUUUUGAAGCUGCCUCAAGGCCAAGAAAAGACAGAGUUGUGCUUUUCCCCUCUGUAGUCCAGUCCUCAUUGCUCUUUACCUAGAAGGGGUUUGGAUUCAAGGGAACAGAGCAGAAAGAUCAUUAGGUCUCCUCCACCGGGAAUAGGCCCAAGCCUGACACUUUUUCGCCAGUCAAAAUGUGGCCUAAAUGUCCCCUCAGAGAAGUCUCUGACCGCCUGACCUGAAUUCAGAAGAGUAAGAAACAGUCUGCCUUUGCUCAUCUGACAAAGAACUAAAAAGAGUGAAUUUACAUUUAGGGAACAAGGUAAGGCGAACCAAUAAUGACUGCAGGGAGGUGACAUGUCUGUUUUUAAAAAAUAUGUGUCAUAUAGAAUAAGCACCCAUAUUUACGCAGUAAGGAUAAGACUUUCAGAAUAUCAUACCCAUUUUUAAGUUAUUCCCUUUCUCCUCUUUCAAAGGGUUAAUUCAUUCGCGUGUUUCCAUUUAUCACCAUUACCUCUUCCCAACGCAGUGGAGGACGCAUUUAUAAUAGCAAUAAAAUGAUGAAAUAUCUAGGAAUAAAUUUAACAAGAAAUAUGUGCAAGUUUUAUGAAGGAAACUUUAAAACCCUACGGAGGGACAUAAAGGAAGACUUAAGUAAAAUAAAAGAUAUAAUUUAUUCUUUCUAGCAAGAUUCAGCAGUGAAAGCAUAAAGAUGUUUAUUUUCCCCAAAUCAAUCUUUAAAGCAAUUUCCAUUAAAAUACCAACAGGAUUUUAAAAAAUUGCCACAGUUCAUCAAAAUUAAACAGCUCACAGUAGGCAGGAAAUUCUGAAAGAGAAGAGUUGGGGAUGAAAGAGGGCAGGGGAAGCCCCUUCAAGUAUUAAAGUAUAUAUUUUUAAAGAUAUUAUUUUUAAGUAAUCUCUACACCCAAAGUGAGGCUCAAACUUAAAAUCUUGAGUCAAGGGUCGCACACUCCACUGACUGACCCAGCCAGGUGCCCCUAAAGUAUAUUUAGAGGUUGAUAAUCAUUAAAAUGUGGAAGUUUCGUACUGAGAAAAAGAAAAAACAAAGAACAAUGAGAUACAUUAGAAUAUAUAUGGAGAUUUAGAUUUUGGCAAAGGUGUCCUUUCAAAUCAGGGAUGAAUUGAAUUGGGACAAUAGACUACUUUUAGUUACAAAUAAAGCUGGAUCUCAGUCUUACUUCUUUAACAAAAAUAAAAUUGACCUGAAUCAAAGAUUAAAAU